GUUCAACGAGUACAGUAUACACAAGACAACCUCAAGAAAGCUUCUAGACUACUCCGCUUACUGUCACAACACUAUUCAACCAACGAGUUUUCGAAGAUUAUCACCCUGGGACACUCUUCUGCUUCAUUCUCAAGGCACAACACCACAACUUCAGAAGAUGCAAGGAGCGUGUUCUUAACUCUCCAAAACGAAGGAGGGGAUCUGCAAUAAACAAAGACGAUAUAUUUUUGGCCAGAAAUUUGCGGAGUUCCUUCGUCUUGAUAUCGGUCUUGGCUGCAGUUGUAUCUCUCGAAAUCAGUGACGGUUUGAGGAGACACUGCAUCUCACUGCUCGGUGGAGACACGGGGAUAUGAAGCUGUUAAUCCCUCUUAAAGUCCACUGCACGUUGUCACAGAGCCUCAGUCCGAUCAGAGCAAGCAGCAAAGAUCAAAGGAGACUUUUCCUCCAAUGUCAAACAGAUAAAUUUCGACAGAAAACUUCUAGCAGACCUCGGAUGAUUUAGGAAAGUAAACAUACUUGCAAUCUGUAAGACAAGUGACUCUACAGGAACUAGCAAGAGGCAGAGAAAGUGAAGAAGAUUCGACGACCGAAGCCUAGCAGAUAAAAUAAUAGCCGAUGAAUUUGAUACGACAUCAUAAAAUACUGGAGUCCACAAAGGAGCAUGUCCUACUUUUCAGCCGCUCCUCAAUCGACAGAUCCUCUUGAUGGCUUGCAGACAUCACGUCCUUGAGGCGGAUCUUGUAAGAGGAUCUGCCUCUAAGCAACUGUUCGGUGACACAACAUCACUUGAAGUAACCCUUUUUAAGAUCAUGAAGACCUCCUGGGAAGAUCUCAAUCUGCAGAACAUUGUCCUUCCUGAUAUCCCUACUUGCAACAGGAACGGAAGAUCUUCUAUCCUUCAUUACUCAAAUCCGUCAACUCAACAACCAGCCCAGGAGAAUAAAAGGAAUUACUAGAGCUAAACUUAUCCAUGGAGAAAGCAUAGAGAUGAAGAAAGGAUGCGUCUUCCAGAUACAAAGACCUGGAGCUGACCACCAUGUCAGAUGGAUGGCUAAGUCCAUAUACAUUAUGAAAAUGAUUCUACUUCACUAGAUACCACUUCACUGGACGAAGAAGAGAGACGUGCAGAAGAUGGCUCACGUUGUUGUCUUCGUUUACUUAAGAGCUUGGUUCAACGCUCCUUUCCUUGAAUCUGCAGCCUCCGCCGACACCCGUUUGUUACACUUACAGAGUCUUCAGAAGUACAAGAGUGUGGACAGAGUAUUAGCCAUCAUCACGACAGUCCUCAAGACAUACCUUUAGAGCGAAGAACUCUCCUUGCAGCAAGAAUAGGCCAACAAACUCUUGAAGCAAUUCAAGUUGGAACUUGAAAACUUGUGUUCGGUUGUUAAUGUUAUUGAGCUUUAUGAACGUCAAAUAAGCCUAAUUGAUGAAAAAUUAUUCUGAUAUGUUUUGGUUUUAUGACCAGGGGUUAUGACAAAUAUAUAAUAAGGAUGUUGGUCUAGUUUCUCGUACGGGUUUUCAACAUACGCUUUAGUCCUACACUCUAGUUUGGGGUUGGAUUUUAAAUAGUCACUUGAAGUACGUGUUAAAGUAUCCUACGUGUUGGUCGAGUGUUGAGUGAUUAAACAUCUUGAUCGCAUGUUUAUUGUUUACUGUUUAGUGUAGACCUUGUUCAGUAGAAACUCAGUACGGUGGUCCGCGGUAAAUUUCAUUCUUUAUUAUACGAAAAUGCAUGACCUGCAUGAGGUAUGUUACCUGGGGACCCCAGGCUAUAAUGUUCCGCCGAAUAGAGAUUCGGCGGAAUGACAGACUAAGCGCCGCCCAGUAAGAGGUAUGAUAAUACUGGGUUUCGAAAUCUUUUAAAUAUCUAUUCGAUUGA